UACGGGGGGGGCAAGCGUUGUUCGGAAUUACUGGGCGUAAGGGGCUCGUAGGCGGCCCACUAAGUCCGACGUGAAAUCCCCAGGCUUAACUUGGGAACUGCGUCGGAUACUGGUGGGCUUGAAUCCGGGAGAGGGAUGCGGAAUUCCAGGUGUAGCGGUGAAAUGCGUAGAUAUCUGGAGGAACACCGGUGGCGAAGGCGGCAUCCUGGACCGGCAUUGACGCUGAGUGAGCGAAAGCCAGGGGAGCAAACGGG
rnacentral:rRNA from 1 species